rnacentral:rRNA from 1 species
GGAGGGGGACUUUCAGAGAUGGAUUGGUGCCUUCGGGAACUCUGAGACAGGUGCUGCAUGGCUGUCGUCAGCUCGUGUUGUGAAAUGUUGGGUUAAGUCCCGCAACGAGCGCAACCCUUAUCCUUGUUUGCCAGCGAGUAAUGUCGGGAACUCCAGGGAAACUGCCGGUGAUAAACCGGAGGAAGGUGGGGACAACGUCAAGUCAUCAGGGCCCUUACGAGUAGGGCUACACACGUGCUACAAUGGCGCAUACAGAGGGCAGCCAACUUGCGAAAGUGAGCGAAUCCCAAAAAGUGCGUCGUAGUCCGGAUUGAAGUCUGCAACUCGACUCCAUGAAGUCGGAAUCGCUAGUAAUCGUGGAUCAAAAUGCCACGGUGAAUACGUUCCCGGGUCUUGUACACACCGA